rnacentral:rRNA from 1 species
AUGCUGGCAGAUGGAUGUGGGUGGGAGCUCCUCCUCCGCAAGCUCAUUGGUAGGGAGCUCCUCCUCCGCGAUGGCCUGGCGUCACCCUGCCCGCACUCUACCAUAAACGGCGAGGCGGCAGCGCGAGCAGCGGCGCCAGACACCACCAGCACCAGCCCCGACUGGGAGCCUCUAGGUGAUGGUGCCCGCAUUGUUCUAUGUUACUGGGCAGGUCUGAUGAAGCUGGAGGAUGCGGCUGAUCUGAGGACUGGGGGGAUCAUGCUGAAGAACAACGCUUCAAGACUGAUGGCGAGUGCUUGUAGUGGGUUUCCCGGCGAUGCUUGA